AACUAUCAACCCUUCAAAAUAAUAUUGCAUGAUGUUACCAAUUUUCCCUACCAAUUAUUUCAAUUUACACUAGCAAUUGGACAAAUAAGUAAUUAACAAAUAUUCCAAAUAAAUGUAAAGAGAACCUCUAUUGGCAUUCCAUAUGUUAAUCAACCAUUGGAUUCUUGAAACAAAAUCAUUUCCCCCCUUUACACUAAAACGAAUAGACAUGUAA
rnacentral:lncRNA from 1 species